GAAGGACAGAGAAGAGGCCAGUCUUGGUGACAGGCAUGAGGAGGUCUCUGGUUCCUGCCCCACAUGCCCUCCCUUCAUGUCCAGGGACACCCAAAUAACGUGCUGGAAGAACCGGCCCCGCGCCCUCAUCGAGUGAUCAUAGGGGGUCUCCCUUCAGUGUAGCCGGCUACGAGUUGAAGCCCCUUCUGGAAGGUCGGUCUUUGAAAAAUAAGAGUGGCGCCGGAGUUGGCCUCCAGGCUGCGGGCUGAACACCCACCUCCACGCGCU
rnacentral:lncRNA from 1 species